GUACACUCCUGCGGGAGGCAGCAGUGGGGAAUAUUGGACAAUGGGCGCAAGCCUGAUCCAGCCAUGCCGCGUGAGUGAUGAAGGCCCUAGGGUUGUAAAGCUCUUUCACCGGAGAAGAUAAUGACGGUAUCCGGAGAAGAAGCCCCGGCUAACUUCGUGCCAGCAGCCGCGGUAAUACGAAGGGGGCUAGCGUUGUUCGGAAUUACUGGGCGUAAAGCGCACGUAGGCGGAUCGAUCAGUCAGGGGUGAAAUCCCAGGGCUCAACCCUGGAACUGCCUUUGAUACUGUCGAUCUGGAGUAUGGAAGAGGUGAGUGGAAUUCCGAGUGUAGAGGUGAAAUUCGUAGAUAUUCGGAGGAACACCAGUGGCGAAGGCGGCUCACUGGUCCAUUACUGACGCUGAGGUGCGAAAGCGUGGGGAGCAAACAGGAUUAGAAACCCGGGUAGUCCCAU
rnacentral:rRNA from 1 species